CCUACGGGUGGCAGCAGUGGGGGAUAUUGCACAAUGGGGGAAACCCUGAUGCAGCGACGCCGCGUGAGCGAUGAAGUAUUUCGGUAUGUAAAGCUCUAUCAGCAGGGAAGAAAAUGACGGUACCUGACUACGAAGCCCCGGCUAACUACGUGCCAGCCGCCGCGGUCAUACGUAGGGGGCGAGCGUUAUCCGGAUUCACUGGGUGUAAAGGGAGCGUAGACGGCCAAGCAAGCCAGGGGUGAAAGCCCGGGGCCCAACCCCGGGACUGCCCUUGGAACUGCAUGGCUGGAGUGCGGGAGGGGCAGGCGGAAUGCCUGGUGUAGCGGUGAAAUGCGUAGAUAUCAGGAGGAACACCGGCGGCGAAGGCGGCCUGCUGGACCGCGACUGACGUUGAGGCUCGAAAGCGUGGGGAGCGAACAGGAUUAGAUACCCCAGUAGUC
rnacentral:rRNA from 1 species